rnacentral:rRNA from 1 species
AUUGAACGCUGGCGGCAGGCCUAACACAUGCAAGUCGAGCGAGCGGCGGACGGGUGAGUAAUGUAUGGGGACUGCCCGAUAGAGGGGGAUAACUACUGGAAACGGUGGCUAAUACCGCAUACUAUCGGAUAACCCAUAUGGGAUUAGCUAGUAGGUGGGGUAAAGGAGCACCUAGGCGACGAUCUCUAGCUGGUCUGAGAGGAUGAUCAGGCACACUGGGAGAGAGACACGGACCAGACGCCUACGGAGGCAGCAGGGGGGAAUAGUGCGCAAUGGGCGCAAGCCUGCAGCAGCCAUGCCGCGUGUAUGAAGAAGGCAUUAGGGUGGUAAAGUACUUUCAGCGGGGAGGCGUUACCCGCAGAAGAAGCACCGGCUAACUCCGUGCCAGCCGCCGCGGUAAUUC